rnacentral:rRNA from 1 species
AUUGAACGCUGGCGGCAUGCCUUACACAUGCAAGUCGAACGGCAGCACGGGAGCAAUCCUGGUGGCGAGUGGCGAACGGGUGAGUAGUUUAUCGGAACGUGCCCAGUAGUGGGGGCUAGCCCGGCGAAAGCCGGAUUAAUACCGCAUGAGACCUGAGGGUGAAAGCGGGGGAUCGCAAGACCUCGCGCUAUUGGAGGGGCCGAUAUCAGAUUAGCUAGUUGGUGGGGUAAAGGCCUACCAAGGCAACGAUCUGUAGUUGGUCUGAGAGGACGACCAGCCACACUGGGACUGAGACACGGCCCAGACUCCUACGGGAGGCAGCAGUGGGGAAUUUUGGACAAUGGGCGCAAGCCUGAUCCAGCAAUGCCGCGUGCAGGAAGAAGGCCUUCGGGUUGUAAACUGCUUUUGUCAGGGAAGAAAUCCCUUGGGAUAAUACCUCGGGGGGAUGACGGUACCUGAAGAAUAAGCACCGGCUAACUACGUGCCAGCCGCCGCCGUAAGAC